rnacentral:tRNA from 2 species
GCCGAAGUGGCGGAAUUGGUAGACGCGCUGGUCUCAAAAACCAGUGGAUAUUUUAUCCGUGCCGGUUCGAUCCCGGCCUUCGGUACCA